GCCCCAUGUGGGGCAAUACUCUGAUUGUAUAACUGCUGGUGCCCCUUCAGGGGUAAUGUAUUUAUAGUCCUUCUGGUAACCGCUGGUAGCAAUAGUGUAACUAUAACCGCUGGCGCCCCCUGUAGGUGUAUUACUGUAAUUGUAGAACCCCCGGUGCCCCCUGUAGGUGUAUUACUGUAAUUGUAGAACCCCCGUGCCCCCUGUAGGUGUAUUACUGUAAUUGUAGAACCCCCGGUGCCCCCUGUAGGUGUAUUACUGUAAUUGUAGAACCCCCGGUGCCCCCUGUAGGUGUAUUACUGUAAUUGUAGAACCCCCGUGCCCCCUGUAGGUGUAUUACUGUAAUUGUAGAACCCCCGGUGCCCCCUGUAGGUGUAUUACUGUAAUUGUAGAACCCCCGGUGCCCCCUGUAGGUGUAUUACUGUAAUUGUAGAACCCCCGGUGCCCCCUGUAGGUGUAUUACUGUAAUUGUAGAACCCCCGGUGCCCCCUGUAGGUGUAUUACUGUAAUUGUAGAACCCCCGGUGCCCCCUGUAGGUGUAUUACUGUAAUUGUAGAACCCCCGGUGCCCCCUGUAGGUGUAUUACUGUAAUUGUAGAACCCCCGGUGCCCCCUGUAGGUGUAUUACUGUAAUUGUAGAACCCCCGGUGCCCCCUGUAGGUGUAUUUUUAUGAUACAGUUGGUGUACCUGGUGCUGUCAUUGCAGUCACAUAUGGAGAAGGUAUGUCGCUUGGCCAAUCAGAGAUGCCAUUCAGCCCCCACCCCAGAGAUGAUUUCCAGGAGGACUGGGCACUAUGGCAGCUCCUGGCACCCUUGGGCACUAUGGCAGCUCCUGGCACCCUUGGGCACUAUGGCAGCUCCUGGCACCCUUGGGCACUAUGGCAGCUCCCUUUCCAUAGAAAUAGGCAAAUGCACAGAUGAUAAAGUAAAACUUGGUUCUAUUUACCCUUGAAAUUUAAAGACAUUCAGUGAUUAGAUAAACACCACAAAGGCCAAAGUCACACAUUAUUUCUCAUAUCUUCCCACCCCCUGAGCCCCCCGACUCUGCAGCUGUAACGACGCCCUGUGAGUCCCUCAGUCUCCCUAUGGGUCGGUGUCUAUUCCUGUAAUGGGGGGGGGGGCACAGGCCGGGGGACGCUAUUUAAAGCCAGUGAAAUAAUCCAGUAAAUAAAGGUGCUGGGGGCAGGGAGAGAAUCCCAGCUGCUGUAGGGGGGCUGCCCCCAAAUCCCCCUCCCACUAGUUACCCAGAGGGGUUCCAUACAGGGGGUGGGGUCCCCCAAAUCCCCCUCCCACUAGUUACCCAGAGGGGUUCCAUACAGGGGGUGGGGUCCCCCAAAUCCCCCUCCCACUAGUUACCCAGAGGGGUUCCAUACAGGGGGUGGGGUCCCCCAAAUCCCCCUCCCACUAGUUACCCAGAGGGGUUCCAUACAGGGGGUGUGGUCCCCCAAAUCCCCCUCCCACUAGUUACCCAGAGGGGUUCCAUACAGGGGGUGGGGGCCC